GACUCUCAGAAACUGAUAUCUCGGCUCUUGUAUCGAUGAUGAAUGUAGCCAAAUGUGAUACUUGGUGUGAAUUGUAGAAUCCUAUGAACCAUCAAGUGUUUGAACACAAGUUGCGCCUGAAGCCAUUAGGCUGAUGGCACGCAUACUUAGGUGUUG
rfam:Lupinus angustifolius cultivar Tanjil chromosome LG02, whole genome shotgun sequence.